GCCCCCGGGGGGCCCCGCUCGGAGGGAAGGCCGAGGAAUCACGUCCACGUGUCGCUCUGGAUUGUCCGGUCUUCCAGGGGGCAGGGAAUGGAAAUGGCUGUGAUGGUGCCAGCUCAGAACCAUUGGAGGGAGGAGGGAACAUUCCUCUAUUUUUGAACCAGGAAACACGCCAGGAAAACUGACCAGACUCCCAGUGCUGGAGCCUGACCCCACUGGCCAGAGGCUGCUGUGAAAUACACAGGGAAGCUGUCGGGAUUCCUGUCCCUGUCCCCGGCUCAGAGCUCUGCUUCCCAGAUCAGCCUGUGGCUGGCAGGCAUGUGGGAAAUGAGAAGACCCUGUCCUGCUCCGUGUGCUGGGGGGACAAGGAGCUCUCACCUUCUCCCACCCCCUGAAGCCUCCUGGCUGCUCUGAGCAGGGUGCAGGUAGGAUUCUUCUACUUUGGGCCUCCUCCCUUGUGCCUAGUGGGAUUGUGGCUGGGGCAGCAGGUGCUGAG